UGUCCUUUGCGUUCUAAAGAGAACUGUCCUAAAAGACUAAGUUAUGCAACUCUUUCCAGGUUAGUGAAAAGCUGUGGCUCUACUGGUCCUGCUACCUUGACACCACUCUGCUUGUUAGUGGACAUCGCAAGCCUGGGCAGGAAAGACAAGAGAGCAUUUUACCCUGUUUGCUGUGAGGGAUACCAAGGGACCCCCUCAUAAAGGGUAGAGGUGCCUGGAAGAAAUCAUAUGACUAAAAUUAAUCUCCAGGUCCCCUCCCUUCCUCAGAUGUUGACUACUUUCAAUGCUCCAACCCUCUAAUCAUAUGGUUGAUCUUUCUGGUGACCAGACCCUUCAUCCUGAGUUAUCUUGUAAGCAUAAACCCAGGUGUGACUUAGGGGGUGGGGUUCCAUGAAUAACAAAGGCACUUUCCAUUACUCAGGAAAUUCCAAGGAUUUAGAGCCUUCAAGGACUUAGUAGCCAGGGACAAAGGCCAAACUGUUACACAAUGGGCACAUACCAAAAUGAAUUUGAUUAACCUUGAGUCUCUGCAAGGUAAUAUUUAAUGCCAAAUGACAGUGGAACAAGGUCUACAGUUUCCUGAGGGAAAAAAUAUUUAACACAAAAAACACACCCUGACAAGUUAGUCACAUAAAGUUAACAAACCAGCAUUAUCAACUAAGCAGAGUACAACCGUUACAAGCCCUGUGUAGAAAAUAAAAAGCUGCUAGCUGUUCAACUCAGCUAAUAAGAAAAAACAUGAAAGAAUACAAGGAAGGAGCAGCUGUGUGAAAAGGACUUUUGUUUGUCAGAGUUUGCCUGUGAUUUUCUUUCUAGCAGUGUUUUAGUCCGGUACUGCCAUCAAUGCUAUUCUAAUCUCAAAAAAUAAGAUGGAAGAAUGUCUACCCUGGGAAGAUGAAGCAGACAUACUUUUCCCUAUUUCAACUAAAAGCUUUGGACAUUAUAUAUGAAACAAAUAUAAGAAGACUCUGAAAGGUAUAGAGAAAGAGGCAGACUGGCGAUUGACUUUGGAACCCAAAAAAUGACUGCUGUGUCAGUUCCCUAUGUUUUCUUCUUUGCUUCAUAUAUUCUAGACAUAGAGUUGAAAAAGCCAGCAACCUGGAAAGACCAGUAGGUUCAGACAAUGAAAGCUCCAUUUGAAGCCUGGUCUCUUUCGCUAAAGGACCAGGAAAAGAACAGUCUAGUAAGACAAAAAUUAAAAAAAGCUUUUUAACAAGAACUGCUCUACUCCAGCCAAAUACCACAGAAAAAUUUGUGGGCUCUACCGAUCCUCACCUAUGCCAGCAAAAGUAGAGUGGGAAGCCUUUUACUCUCAUGAGUUUGUAACAAGGUGACCCAAUACCCACACUGGGAAGAAGGCCAAGUAGGGGGCAGGCCAGUGUCAGUACAGACCCCAUGGUGAGUUGAAACUCCUAUCCCCAACCAUCAAUAACAAGGAGCUCCUCCCACUCCAGUGUCAUUGGAGACUGAAUGGAGAACCUAGACUUCAUAUUCAUCUGGCAAUAGUGAGGUGGUGCCCUUCUGCUUCCUCUGUCAGAGCAGCAUCAAACCAAGCCAGCUAAAACAGAAGGUAUAACACCUAGAGUCUCAUUACACUAUGCAAAAAUGUCCAAGUUUCAACUGAAAGUCACUCAUCAUACCAAGCAAGAACCAGGAAGAUCUCAAAUGAA